GGAAGGAUCUGUAGCUCAUUGGCAGAGCAUCUGCUUUGCAUGCAGAAGAAGCCAGGUUCAGUCCUUGGCAUCUCCA